rnacentral:rRNA from 1 species
UCGAGAAUUUUGGGCAAUGGACGAAAGUCUGACCCAGCAAUGCCGCGUGCGGGAUGAAGGUCUUCGGAUUGUAAACCGCUGUUGAGAGGGACGAAAUAUGACGGUACCUCUAGAGGAAGCCACGGCUAACUACGUGCCAGCAGCCGCGGUAAUACGUAGGUGGCGAGCGUUGUUCGGAUUUAUUGGGCGUAAAGGGUCCGCAGGGGGUUGAUUAAGUUUGACGUGAAAUCCCGGAGCUUAAUUCCGGAACUGCGUUGAAGACUGGUUGACUAGAGUGUUGGAGAGGUAAUUGGAAUUCCAGGUGUAGCGGUGGAAUGCGUAGAUAUCUGGAAGAACAUCGAGAGCGAAGGCAGAUUACUGGACAACAACUGACCCUCAGGGACGAAAGCAUGGGGAGCAAACAGGAUUAG